UACGGAGGGGGCUAGCGUUGUUCGGAAUUACUGGGCGUAAAGGGCGCGUAGGCGGCUCGGCACGUCCGUUGUGAAAUCGCCCGGCUCAACUGGGCGGGGUCAGCGGAUACGGCCGAGCUUGAGCAAGCUAGGGGGCAAUGGAAUUCCCGGUGUAGUGGUGGAAUGCGUAGAUAUCGGUAGGAACACCAGUGGCGAAGGCGGUUUCCUGGAGCUAACUUGACGCUGAGACGCGAAAGCUGGGGGAGCAAACGGG
rnacentral:rRNA from 1 species